rnacentral:tRNA from 1 species
GGGAGUUUAGCUCAAUUGGUAGAGCGCGUGCUUUGCAUGCACGACGUAGGGGGAUCGAAACCCCCAAUUUCCA